rnacentral:rRNA from 1 species
AACGGCCAUGCCACGCUGAAUAUACCGGUUCUCGCGUUAGAUCACCGAAGUCAAGCAUCAUUGGGCGCAGUCAGUAUUUGGGUGGGUGACCACCUGGGAACACCGCGUGCCGUU